CACGUAUGGGGCAAGCGUUGUUCGGAAUUAUUGGGCGUAAAGGGCAUGCAGGCGGUUCUGUAAGUCUGAUGUGUAAUCUCCCGGCUCAACUGGGAAGACGCGUUGGAAACUGCGGGACUUGAGUACCGGAAGGGUAGCUGGAAUUCCAGGUGUAGGGGUGAAAUCUGUAGAUAUCUGGAAGAACAUCAAUGGCGAAGGCAAGCUACUGGCCAAGUACUGACGCUGAGAUGCGAAAGCGUGGGGAGCAAACAGG
rnacentral:rRNA from 1 species